CGCAGCAGUCGCGAAAACUUCACAAUGGGGGCAACCCCGAUGAGGGAAUUCCUAGUGCUAGCUCUUUUUGAGUUAGCUUUUCUUUAGCGUAGAUAACUAAAGGAAUAAGGGCUGGGUAAGACGGGUGCCAGCCGCCGCGGUAAUACCUGCAGCCCAAGUGGUGGCCGAUAGUAUUGAGUCUAAAACGUUCGUAGCCGGUCUGGUAAAUCUUUGGGUAAAUCGGGGAGCUUAACUUUCCGACUUCUGAGGAGACUACCAGACUUGGGACCGGGAGAGGCUAGAGGUACUUCUGGGGUAGGGGUAAAAUCCUGUAAUCCUAGAAGGACCACCGGUGGCGAAGGCGUCUAGCUAGAACGGAUCCGACGGUGAGGGACGAAGCCCUGGGGCGCAAACGGGAUUAGAUACCCCGGUAGUCCAGGGUGUAAACGUUGCAGGCUUGGUGUUGGAGGCCCUCCGAGGGCGUUCAGUGCCGGAGAGAAGUUGUUAAGCCUGUUACUUGGGGAGUACGUCCGCAAGGAUGAAACUUAAAGGAAUUGGCGGGGGAGCACCGCAACGGGAGGAGCGUGCGGUUUAAUUGGAUUCAACACCGGAAAACUCACCAGGAGCGACGGUUACAUG
rnacentral:rRNA from 1 species